AAAGAAUGUCAUCUUGUCUUUGUUUUCUUAAUACAUUUUAACUUAAUGUUGUUUAUCAUGUUCGUUUUUUCUUUGUUUAGGUAAAAUACUUAUUUUGUGAUAAAACGGGAACCCUCACUUGCAAUAUUAUGACAUUUAAGAAGUGUACCAUUGCAGUCAGCCGCCUUCUCCCAUCACAGACUCCUGUGAAUUUGAUGACCCAACAUUAUUGCAGAACUUGGAGAGUAACCAUGUAAGUCUGCUUUUUUCACUCUGUCAACAGGGUAAUGCUAUAUAACUUUAAAACAUUUGU
rnacentral:lncRNA from 1 species